UACAGAGGCCUCGAGCGUUAGGCGGAAUCACUGGGCUUAAAGCGUGUGUAGGCGGACUUCUAAGUACCUUGUGAAAUCCCACGGCUCAUCCGUGGAACUGCUUGGUAUACUGGUUGUCUUGAGCCUUCUAGGGGCGAGUGGAACAAAUGGUGGAGCGGUGAAAUGCGUAGAUAUGCGGAGGAACACCGAUGGCGAAGGCAAUCCCCUGGGCCUGUACUGACGCUCAUGCACGAAAGCGUGGGGAGCAAACAGG
rnacentral:rRNA from 1 species